rnacentral:pre_miRNA from 1 species
GAUUUCAAAUGGAAAUAUGGUCAACAACAAAGUUGAUCCUCUCAUCAAAAUCUACAACUUUUAUUUUGGUUACUUCUUCAUCCGACAAAGUGAUAGUUAUAUUAUUCACAAAAAUCACAUUUCUCUCAUCUGGUUUAUAAAUAUCAACACAGAUAUGUCAAUUUUGUAAACAUUGGUACUAUCACUUUGUCGGAUGAAGAAGUAACCAAAAUAAAAGUUGUAGAUUUUGAUGAGAGGAUCAACUUUGUUUACAUUUGUCAUAUUGUCAAAAUC